rnacentral:rRNA from 1 species
AUUGAACGCUGGCGGCAUGCCUUACACAUGCAAGUCGAACGGCAGCACGGGAGCAAUCCUGGUGGCGAGUGGCGAACGGGUGAGUAAUAUAUCGGAACGUGCCCAGUCGUGGGGAUAACGUAGCGAAAGCUACGCUAAUACCGCAUACGAUCUAUGGAUGAAAGCGGGGGAUCGCAAGACCUCGCGCGAUUGGAGCGGCCGAUAUCAGAUUAGGUAGUUGAUGAGGUAAAGGCUCACCAAGCCGACGAUCUGUAGCUGGUCUGAGAGGACGACCAGCCACACUGGGACUGAGACACGGCCCAGACUCCUACGGGAGGCAGCAGUGGGGAAUUUUGGACAAUGGCGCAAGCCUGAUCCAGCAAUGCGCGUGCAGGAU